rnacentral:rRNA from 1 species
GUGGGGAAUCUUGCGCAAUGGGCGAAAGCCUGACGCAGCCAUGCCGCGUGAAUGAUGAAGGUCUUAGGAUUGUAAAAUUCUUUCACCGGGGACGAUAAUGACGGUACCCGGAGAAGAAGCCCCGGCUAACUUCGUGCCAGCAGCCGCGGUAAUACGAAGGGGGCUAGCGUUGCUCGGAAUUACUGGGCGUAAAGGGCGCGUAGGCGGACAGUUUAGUCAGAGGUGAACGCCCAGGGCUCAACCUUGGAAUUGCCUUUGAUACUGGCUGUCUUGAGUACGGGAGAGGUGAGUGGAACUCCGAGUGUAGAGGUGAAAUUCGUAGAUAUUCGGAAGAACACCAGUGGCGAAGGCGACUCACUGGCCCGUUACUGACGCUGAGGCGCGAAAGCGUGGGGAGCAAACAGGAUUAGAUACCCCUGUAGUCC